AUACGGGGGGUGCGAGCGUUGUUCGGAAUUACUGGGCGUAAAGCGCGUGUAGGCGGUCGGGAAAGUCGAAUGUGAAAUCCCCGGGCUCAACCCGGGAACUGCAUCCGAAACUGCUCGGCUAGAGUCCCGGAGAGGAAGGCAGAAUUCCCAGUGUAGGGGUGAAAUCCGUAGAUAUUGGGAGGAAUACCAGUGGCGAAGGCGGCCUUCUGGACGGUGACUGACGCUGAGACGCGAAAGCGUGGGGAGCAAACAGGAUUAGAAACCCGAGUAGUCC
rnacentral:rRNA from 1 species